UUUGUAAAGUCUGCAAGUGGAUAUAUGGACCGCAUUGAGGCCUUCGUUGGAAACGGGAUUUCUUCAUUUCAUGCUAGACAGAAGAAUUCUCAGUAACUUCUUUGUGCUGUGUGUAUUCAACUCACAGAGUGGAACGUCCCUUUACACAGAGCAGAUUUGAAACACUCUUUUUGUGGAAUUUGCAACUCAGAAACUACUUUGUGAUGUGUGCCUUCAACUCACAGAGUUUAACCUUUCUUUUCUUAGAGCAGUUUAGAAACACUCUGCUUGUUAUGUCUGCAAGUGGAUAUUUGGACCUCUUUGAGGGCUUCGUUGCAAACGGGGUUUCUUCCUUUCAUGCUAGACUAAGAAGAGUUCUCAGGAACUUUUUUGUGUUGUGUGUAUUCAACUCACAGAGUUGAACCUUGCUUUAGAGAGAGCAGAUUUGAAACACUCUUGCUGUGGCAUUUUCAGGUGGAGAUUUCAAGCGAUUUGAGGACAAUUGCAGAAAAGGAAAUAUCUUCGUAUAAUAACCAGACAGAAUCAUUCUCAGAAAGUGCUUUGUGAUGUGUGCGUGUCCCUUUAGACAGAGCAGAUUUGAAACACUCUUUUUGCGGAAUUUCCAAGUGCUUGCUUUAGAGAGAGCAGAUUUGAGACACUCUUGCUGUGGAAUUUUCAGGUGGAGAUUUCAAGCGAUUUGAGG
rnacentral:lncRNA from 10 species